rnacentral:misc_RNA from 1 species
GAUGAAGAACGUAGCGAAAUGCGAUACGUAAUGUGAAUUGCAGAAUUCAGCGAAUCAUCGAAUCUUUGAACGCAUAUUGCGCUCUCUGGUAUUCCGGAGAGCAUGCUUGUUUGAGUAUCAGUAAACACCUCAACUUCCAUAUCUUUUUUGAAAUGGGAGUUGGACUUGAGUGAUCCCAACGCUUUUCCUCACCGAAAAGUGGCGGGUUACUUGAAAUGCAGGUGCAGCUGGACUUUUCUCUGAGCUAUAAGCAUAUCUAUUUAGUCUGCCUAAAAAACAGUUUAUUACCUUUGCUGCAGCUAACAUAAAGGAGAUUAGUUCUUGUGCUGACUGAUGCAGGAUUCACAAAGACAGGCUUCGGCCGACUUUGUAAACUCGAUCUCAAAUCAAGUAAGACUACCCGCUGAACUUAAGCAUAUCAAUAAGCGGAGGA